CCUACGGGCGGCAGCAGUGAGGAAUAUUGGUCAAUGGACGAGAGUCUGAACCAGCCAAGUAGCGUGAAGGAUGACUGCCCUAUGGGUUUUAAACUUCUUUUAUAAAGGAAUAAAACGUGGCACGUGUGCCCUUUUGCAUGUACUUUAUGAAUAAGGAUCGGCUAACUCCGUUCCAUCAGCCGCGGUAAUACGGAGGAUCCGAGCGUUAAGCGGAUUUAUUGGGUUUAAAGGGAACGUAGCUGGGUGAUUGAGUCAGUUGUGAAAGUUUGGGGCUCAACCGGAAAAUUGCAUCUGAUACUGGUAGGCGAGAGUAUAGUUGAGGGGGGGAGAAUUCGAGGUGUAGCGGUGAAAUGCUGAGAGAUCACGAAGAACCCCGAUUGCGAAGGCGGCCCACUAAACAGAGACUGACGUUGAGGCUCGAAAGUGUGGGGAGCAAACAGGAUUAGAUACCCGGAGAGUC
rnacentral:rRNA from 1 species